CCCCGGCUAGCUCUGUUGGUAGAGCAUGAGACUCAUAAUCUCAGGGUAGUGGUUUUGCGUCCCGUAUCGGGCA
rnacentral:tRNA from 1 species